rnacentral:rRNA from 1 species
GGGAAUAUUGCACAAUGGGCGAAAGCCUGAUGCAGCAACGCCCGCGUGAGGGAUGACGGCCUUCGGGUUGUAAACCUCUUUUAGCAGGGAAGAAGCGAAAGUGACGGUACCUGCAGAAAAAGCGCCGGCUAACUACGUGCCAGCAGCCGCGGUAAUACGUAGGGCGCAAGCGUUAUCCGGAAUUAUUGGGCGUAAAGAGCUCGUAGGCGGUUUGUCGCGUCUGCUGUGAAAUCCCGAGGCUCAACCUCGGGCCUGCAGUGGGUACGGGCAGACUAGAGUGCGGUAGGGGAGAUUGGAAUUCCUGGUGUAGCGGUGGAAUGCGCAGAUAUCAGGAGGAACACCGAUGGCGAAGGCAGAUCUCUGGGCCGUAACUGACGCUGAGGAGCGAAAGGGUGGGGAGCAAACAGGCUUAGAUACCCUGGUAGUCCACCCCGUAAACGUUGGGAACUAAUUGUGGGGUCCAUUCCACGGAUUCCGUGACGCAACUAACGCAUUAAGUUCCCCGCCUGGGGAGUACCGGCCGCAAGGCUAAAACUNAAAUGAAU